CAGCCGCGGUAAGACAGAGGUGGCAAGCGUUAGUUCGGAAUUACUGGGCGUAAAGAGUCUGUAGGUGGUUUGUCAAGUCUUUGGNGAAAGGCCGUAGCUUAACUAUGGGAAUGCCAAAGAGACUGGCAGGCUGGAGGCUGGGAGAGGGAAGCGGAAUUUCUGGUGUAGCGGUGAAAUGCGUAGAUAUCAGAAGGAAGGCCGGUGGCGAAGGCGGCUUCCUGGAACAGUCCUGACACUGAGAGACGAAAGCGUGGGGAGCAAACAGGAUUAGAUACCCUGGUAGUCCACGCCCUAAACGAUGGGUACUAAGUGUGGAG
rnacentral:rRNA from 1 species